UUUUCUGAAAUUAGGAUGUAAUCCUGCUUUUUUCUGUUUGCUUCGUAGAUUUUUCUUUAUUUAUUUUGAGUCUGUGGGUGUCAUUGCAUACGAAAUGGGCCUCUUGAAGAUAGCACACUGGUGGGUCUUGGUUCUUUAUCUAGCUUGUUGCUUGGUGCCUUUUAAUAGGGGUAUUUAGCCCAUUUACAUUCAAGGUUUGUACUGAUAUGUGUGGAUCUGAACCUGUCAUCAUGAUGUUAGCUGGUUAUUAUGCAGACUUGUUUGUGUGGUUGCUUUAUAGUGUCACUAGUGUGUUUACUUAAAUGCGUUUUUGAAGUGGCUGGUAAUGGUCUUUCCUUUCCAUAUUUAGUGCUUCCUUAAGGAGCUCUUGUAAGGCAGGUUUGAUAGUAAUGAAUUUCCUCAGCAUUUGCUGGUGUGAAAAGGAUCUGAUUUUUCCCUCACUUAUGAAGGUUAUUUUGUCCAGAUAUGAAAUUCUGGCUUGGAAUUUCUUUAAGAAUGUUGAUUAUUGGUGCCCAAUCUCUUCUGGCUUGUAGGGUUUCUGCUGAGAGGUCCGCUGUUAGUCUGAUGGACUUGCCUUUGUAGGUGACCUUACCUUACCCUCUAGCUGCCUUUAACAUUUUUUUCUUUCAUCUUAACUUUCAAGAACCUUAUGAUUAUGUCUUGAGGAUGUUCUUCUCAUGAAGGAUCUCAUUGGGGUUCUCUGCAUUUCUUGAAUUUGCAUAUUAGUCUCUCUAGCUAGGGUUGGGAAGCUCUCAUGGAUGAUAUCCUGAAAUACGUUUUCAGUUGCUUACGCUCUCCCCAUCUCUUUCAGGGAUACCAGUCAUUCAUAGAUUUGGUCUCUUUAUAUAAUACCACAUUUCUUGGAGGUUUUGUUUAUUCCUUUAUACUCUCUUUUCUCUAUUAUUGUCUGACUUCCUUAUUUCAAAACGUCAGUCUUCAAGCUCUGAGACACUAUCCUCACCUUGGUCUAUUCUGCUGUUAAUACUUGUGACUGCAUUAUGAAAUUCUUAUAGUGUGUUUUUCAGCUCUGUCAGGUUGAUUACAUGUUUUUUCUUUGCUGGCUAUUUUGUCUGUCAGCUCCUAUAUUGUUGUACUGUGAUUCUUCGCUUCCUUGAUUUUGUUUCAGCAUACUCCUGCAUCUCAACGAUCUGCAUUCCUAUCCAUAUUCUGCCUUCUGUUUCUGUCAUUUCUGCCAUCUCAACCCGGUUCAGAACCCUUGCUGGAGUGGUGGUGCAGUCAUUUUGAGGAAAGAAGGCACUCUGGCUUUUUGAGUUGUCAAGAGUUCUUGGAUUGGUUCUUUCUUAUCUUUCUGGGGUAAUGUUUGUUCAAUCUUUGAACUUGCUGACCUUUGGAUAGUUUUUUUUUUCUUCUUCUUCUUUUACACUAUUUGAUGACCUUCAGUGUUUGAUUGUGGUAUAAGGUGGAUUCAGCCAACUGACUGUUUCUGGAAGACUUUAGGGGGCCAACACUCAGCUCUGAUCUUCUAGACUGUGUGCUCUAACUUUGGGGGACUUAUAUUGGGCAAUGACUUUGUUCUCUGGCUCCUCUGAGGUUAGGAGUCCACUGUGCUGGUGGGGCCGAAGUGCUCCACGAUCACUGGUCACUACACUCUAAUGGGUGGUGUCUGCCAAAGUGCUUCAUAGUGUGGCGGCAGCAGGAUCCGUCCUCAUUUGCACAUGCCAGCAACAGCAGCAGCGCAGCAGAGUGCACGCUGGACAACUGUGACAGGGUGCUAGCAGGUGCCAGGGUGCCUGCCCCCAUGUAGGCAUUCACCGCAGUGGCAGAGGCAGCUCAGCUGGACGACUGUGACAGGGUGCUAGCAGGUACCAGGGUGCCCGCCCCCAUGUAGGCAUUCACUGCAGUGGCAGAGGCAGCUCAGCUGGACGACUGUGACAGGGUGCUAGCAGGUGCCAGGGUGCCUGCCCCCAUGUAGGCAUUCACUGCAGUGGCAGAGGCAGCUCAGCUGGACGACUGUGACAGGGUGCUAGCAGGUGCCAGGGUGCCCGCCCCCAUGUAGGCAUUCACUGCAGUGGCAGAGGCAGCUCAGCUGGACAACUGUGACGGGGUGCUAGCAGGUGCCAGGGUGCCCGCCCCCAUGUAGGCAUUCACUGCAGUGGCAGAGGCAGCUCAGCUGGACAACUGUGACAGGGUGCUAGCAGGUGCCAGGGGGUGCCAGGGUGCCUGCCCCCAUGUAGGCAUUCACUGCAGUGGCAGAGGCAGCUCAGCCUGGGGGGCCAGAGAGCCCUUGCUGGUGACUGUGCAUGUGAUAUCACUGGUGGUUGUGUUAAUACGGAUGUGGGUUACUGGUGGGGACAGGUCUCUGUGUGCCCCAGGCAGGGGUGGUUGCUCAGGGUUGGGGAGGGUCUGCUGUCCUCUGUGCCUGGUUUCACUCCUGUGGCAGUGUUGGCACAAGGGCAGGGCUGGCUGGUUCUGUGCUCACCAAGGCUCCAACUGCAGUGACGGUCCAGCAGAAGGGGAACAGGUGGUAGGGUGCACACACACAUGCACACUGGCAGGGCAAGGAAAGCAAAAUCUGUCCACGUACACA